UAUAAUCUCAUUUAAGCAAGUGCCAAAAAAAAAAAAAAUUAAAUGCAAAAAGGUGCUUUUACCUCUAGUUAACUCUGAUAUUUUCCAGAGGGCCCCUGGAACAUGUCAGAGGAAUUUUUUCUCAUUGGAGAAAGUAUUUGACUAAUUUGGCUUAUUUAUCUGAUAUAUAUAUAUAUAUUUACCAGGAAAGCAAUCUCAAAGAGAAUGAUGCUAAACUUGGUUACUGAAUGUUUUGUAUUACAGAAAUAUCAGAAUUUCCUUAUGUCAACUGUCUUACAGUAAGCUCUCAUCAGAUCUUUAACCAUUGUCAUUUAAGCCACAAAACUGCAAAAAGUAAUAGAAAUGAAACCCAGAAUAGAAGUGCCAACCUUCUGAGGCCCUCUCAACUGACCAGUGAUGGAGACCUAGCUGCACCCUUUACUGCGCCCCCUUCUCAGCACGAAGCAGCCAGAGCGGUCAUCGCCCCUUUUCCCUAGCAGCAGCUAGAGUCUCUAUCUGUAGAA